CUGGAGAAAGGUAAGUGCUGAAGACACACACACACACACACACACACACACACACUUACAGACGCAUACACACUAGCUAACAGACACACACAUUUACUGACAGAGACACAGUCAGUGACAGACAUACAUACACACUCACUUACAAAACAUACACUCUCAUUGACAAACACACACUCACUAACAGACAUCAAACAGACUCAC